CAGCCGUACUCAUGGGUAAUCAGCCUUUUGGGUGUGAUUUUGUGGAGCGUGAGGAGUUAAACGCCUUCAUGCCUGCAUAUUCGUGCACUUUGGGUGUCCUUGCCCGUGUGUAAGUUAACAUCAAUUUUGGUGGUCAUAAAAUGGCUGGAGGAAUGUAGCUUCGAUCUCGUAUUGAAGUGUUAUAGCCUUCGGUAGAUGUGAUGAUCGGGAUUGAGGAUGCAACGGAUACCCAUCGGGCUACCCGUCUGAUCUCUG
rnacentral:rRNA from 1 species